UGGUGAAUAUUGCACAAUGGGCGCAAGCCUGAUGCAGCCAUGCCGCGUGUAUGAAGAAGGCCUUCGGGUUGUAAAGUACUUUCAGUCGGGAGGAAGGUGUCAAGGUUAAUAACCUUGGCAAUUGACGUUACCGACAGAAGAAGCACCGGCUAACUCCGUGCCAGCAGCCGCGGUAAUACGGAGGGUGCAAGCGUUAAUCGGAAUUACUGGGCGUAAAGCGCACGCAGGCGGUUUGUUAAGUCAGAUGUGAAAUCCCCGGGCUCAACCUGGGAACUGCAUCUGAUACUGGCAAGCUUGAGUCUCGUAGAGGGGGGUAGAAUUCCAGGUGUAGCGGUGAAAUGCGUAGAGAUCUGGAGGAAUACCGGUGGCGAAGGCGGCCCCCUGGACGAAGACUGACGCUCAGGUGCGAAAGCGUGGGGAGCAAACAGG
rnacentral:rRNA from 1 species